rnacentral:rRNA from 1 species
CACACCGCCCGUCACACCAUGGGAGUUUGUUGCACCAGAAGCAGGUAGCCUAACCGCAAGGGGGGCGCUUGCCACGGUGUGGUCGAUGACUGGGGUG